rnacentral:rRNA from 1 species
UACGUAGGGGGCAAGCGUUGUCCGGAAUCAUUGGGCGUAAAGCGCGCGUAGGUGGCCCAGUAAGUCCGUUGUGAAAGUCAAAGGCUCAACCUUUGAAAGCCGAUGGAUACUGCUGGGCUCGAGUCCGGAAGAGGCGAGUGGAAUUCCUGGUGUAGCGGUGGAAUGCGCAGAGUAUCAGGAGGAACACCAAUAGCGAAGGCAGCUCGCUGGGACGGUACUGACACUAAGGCGCGAAAGCGUGGGAGCGAACGAGG